UACGUAGGGGGCAAGCGUUGUCCGGAAUUAUUGGGCGUAAAGAGCGUGUAGGCGGCCAGGUAGGUCUGCUGUGAAAACUCGAGGCUCAACCUCGAGAUGUCGGCGGAAACCAUCUGGCUAGAGUCCGGAAGAGGAGAAUGGAAUUCCCGGUGUAGCGGUGAAAUGCGCAGAUAUCGGGAAGAACACCCGUGGCGAAGGCGGUUCUCUGGGACGGUACUGACGCUGAGGAGCGAAAGCGUGGGGAGCGAACAGG
rnacentral:rRNA from 1 species